GACCAAUUCCGGCGAACCAACCCCAAAAGUUUAUUCCCCACAUCCUCUUGAGUAAGGUGGCAAAGCAUCCUCCAAGGGGAAGGAAACCGCCAAUCAGUGUGCGCGUCUCCAUGCAUGGAAACAUGUUCUGAUUUAGUGGUUUUGGUCGUCAUAGCGAGGCGAAGUGUUUGGCAAUUUGUAUCCCAAGUCAGGUUGUUUAUUUACUGUUAAUCAGAUUGCAUUG